CCAUCGUUGGAUGAAUGGAUACAGAA
rnacentral:piRNA from 1 species